CUUCCCUAAACUGCAUAACUUGCAACGGGAUCAUCUAUGUUCUAUGUACUAUGUCUUAUCUAAGUUAUAAACUAUCAAAAAUAGUAAUAAUAUGAGAAUAAAAGUUGCCAAAGGGAGCAUAUAGCUCGAUGGUAAUUACUAUAUCCUCCUUCCAUUUUUCUUUUGCAUCUCAUAUUGAAAUUUACGCUCGUUA